UAAUACGGAGGGUGCUAGCGUUAUUCGGAAUUACUGGGCGUAAAGCGCGUGCAGGCGGGAAGGCAAGUCUGAUGUGAAAGCCCGGGGCUUAACCUCGGAAGUGCAUUGGAAACUGCUUUUCUUGAGUACUGGAGAGGAAGGGGGAAUUCCCGGCGUAGAGGUGAAAUUCGUAGAGAUCGGGAGGAAUACCAGUGGCGAAGGCGCCCUUCUGGACGGUUACUGACGCUGAGACGCGAAAGCGUGGGGAGCAAACAGG
rnacentral:rRNA from 1 species